rnacentral:rRNA from 1 species
UACCAGCACCCCGAGUGGUCGGGACGAUUAUUGGGCCUAAAGCAUCCGUAGCCGGUUCUGCAAGUCCCCCGUUAAAUCCAGCUGCUCAACAGAUGGGCCGCGGAGGAUACUACAGAGCUAGGAGGCAGGAGAGGCAAGCGGUACUCGAUGGGUAGGGGUAAAAUCCGUUGAUCCAUUGAAGACCACCAGUGGCGAAGGCGGCUUGCCAGAACGCGCUCGACGGUGAGGGAUGAAAGCUGGGGGAGCAAACCAG